rnacentral:lncRNA from 1 species
CGGCGGCGGCGGCGCGGGCGCGCGCUUCCUAGUGACGCAGGCGGCGGGGCCGCGCACGCACGGGGCUGGGAGGGCCGGACACUUAUUUGGCGCUCGCGGAGGAGGAAGGCGGGGCCGUGAAAUAAGGCCCGACGGGCCCCGGGGCGCGUGCGCGGACCGACACUGUCAGCUCCUAACGCCGCAGGUUCCUCCUGGUCCCCGAGGCCCCCGGUCGGGCGUUGCCUGCCCCGCGCGGGCGGCCGGGCCGAGGGACGAUGGUCAGUGGACGGACGGCGCCAGGGAGCAGUGCCCACGCGCGGCAGGGCGGUACCUUCAGGCCUCCAGGUCGGAAGUCCAGCCCAGCCUCACUCCGCCAAAAUCAGGGUGUCUGCAGGGCCGAUUGCUUUUGGAGCUCCACGGGAGAAGCUGUUCCGGCCUUUCCAGUUUCUGGAAGCACUUGAGCCCCUUGUCUCGUGGCCUAUCCCACACCUGAAAGCCAGCCAAAGCCAGUUGAGUCCUCACCCUGUUGGCCCCGACACUGAUCUCCUGCCUCCCUCAUCUGCUGUCAAGGCCCCUUGUGAUGACAUGGGGCCACCAGCUGGCCCAGGGCACCUCCUGUCUCCGAGUCGGCUGACCAGUGACCUUCAUUCCAUCUGUCGCUGUAAUUCCCCUUUGCUGGGAACCAACGUUCACAGAUCCCAGGGGUUAGGAUGUGAAUAUCUUGGGCAGGGCUGUCGGGGGGCUAUUCUUCCUUCUAAAAUAUUUAUCAUUUUUGUUUUGGGGAUUUUUUUGGUUUGGUUUUUUUUGAGACAGAGUCUCGCUCUGUCGCCCAGGUUGGAGGGCAAUGGUGCAAUCUCAGCUCACUGCAACCUCUGCCUCCGGGCAGACGUGAGCCAGUGCACCAGGCCUGUUUUUGUUUUUGUUUGUUUUGUUUUGUUUUUGAGAUGGAGUCUCACUUUGUCACCCAGGCUGGAGUGUAGUGGCGGGAUUAUAGGUACGUGCCAUCAUGCCCAGUUACUUUUUGUAUUUUUAGUAGAGACAGGGUUUUACCAUGUUGGUCAGACUGGUCUCAAACUCCUGAUCUCAGGUAAUCCACCCGCCUCAGCCUCCCAAAGUGCUGGGAUUACAGACGUGAGCCA